AUUGAACGCUGGCGGCAGGCCUAACACAUGCAAGUCGAACGGUAACAGGAAGAAGCUUGCUUCUUUGCUGACGAGUGGCGGACGGGUGAGUAAUGUCUGGGAAACUGCCUGAUGGAGGGGGAUAACUACUGGAAACGGUAGCUAAUACCGCAUAAUGUCGCAAGACCAAAGAGGGGGACCUUCGGGCCUCUUGCCAUCGGAUGUGCCCAGAUGGGAUUAGCUAGUAGGUGGGGUAACGGCUCACCUAGGCAACGAUCCCUAGCUGGUCUGAGAGGAUGACCAGCCACACUGGAACUGAGACACGGUCCAGACUCCUACGGGAGGCAGCAGUGGGGAAUAUUGCACAAUGGGCGCAAGCCUGAUGCAGCUAUGCCGCGUGUAUGAAGAAGGCCUUCGGGUUGUAAAGUACUUUCAGCGGGGAGGAAGGGAGUAAAGUUAAUACCUUUGCUCAUUGACGUUACCCGCAGAAGAAGCACCGGCUAACUCCGUG
rnacentral:rRNA from 1 species